rnacentral:rRNA from 1 species
CCCAAAGUCAUGGUUAAGUGGGAAACGAUGUGGGAAGGCACAGACAGCCAGGAUGUUGGCUUAGAAGCAGCCAUCAUUUAAAGAAAGCGUAAUAGCUCACUGGUCGAGUCGGCCUGCGCGGAAGAUGUAACGGGGCUAAACCAUGCACCGAAGCUGCGGCAGCGACACUAUGUGUUGUUGGGUAGGGGAGCGUUCUGUAAGCCUGCGAAGGUGACCUGUGAGGGUUGCUGGAGGUAUCAGAAGUGCGAAUGCUGACAUAAGUAACGAUAAAGCGGGUGAAAAGCCCGCUCGCCGGAAGACCAAGGGUUCCUGUCCAACGUUAAUCG